AGCGCCGUGAGGGGACAGCGCCGUGAGGGGACAGCGCCGUGAGGGGACAGCGUGUGCCACCGAGGGCUUGUCAGAGUCUCGGAAUCGUUUAGGCUGGAAAAGGCCUCCGAGAUCACCGAGUCCAACUUAACGACCCAACGCCACUGUGUCCAGCAGACCAUGACACCGGGUGCUACAUGCAGUCUUUUCCUGGAGUCUCCUCCAGGGCCGGUGGCUCCAUCACCUCCCUGGGCAGGCCAUUCCAAUGUUUAGUCACCCUUUCAGUGAAAAAAUUACUCCUAAUAUCCACCUUACUCCUCAGUGAUGCAACAGAAGGCCAUUUCCUCUCACCUUAUCAAUUAUUCCCUGUUAUCAGAGCCCGAUGCCAGUGUGGCUCCAGCCUCCUGUCAGGCAGUCUCAGAGAGCGAUAAUGUCCCCCCCGAGCCUCUUUUUCUCAGACUAAACCCCCCCAACUCCCUCAGCUGCUCCUCAUCAGACUGGAGCUUCUUUCAGAAGAAAGACAAGCAUCAAGUUGUACAGCAAUUCUUGCUGCCAUAAGGGAAUAUGGCAUCUCUUCCAACAGUAAGCCUUGUAGUUAAGCCACACCAAAAUGUUUGUGCUGGGACACAAGGGUCAUGCUCUUCAAGAAUUGAAAAGUCCUUCCAAAGUUCCCGGUAGUCCCUUGGACUAAAGUGGUAAAAAGAAAACCACCAAAAUGCAAACUCUGUGCAGGGCAAAGGACUUGUUUAUCUCUAAGAUUCUGUUACACUUUGUCCUUUAAUCUUUCCUAGGUGAGGCAGACGCCACAGGUAUUCAGGAGCAGCCUGAAUGUGAUUCAGCAAGAACAUCUUGCAUGGAAGGAGCAACGGGAAGGGAGGCACAAGGAAAAGAUGAAGGAGCAAGGCUGACAUCACCAGCGCUGAUAUGUGUCUGAAAGACAGGAGGCUUCCCAUCUUCCAAAUAAUUUGUGAGAAGAUGUACUUUUGAGUGACAGGUUGAAAACUGUAUCUGAAUAUGAUAAUGAGGCUUUUGAGAAAGGAGUUGCUGAUCCAAAACUACAACACAACCCAGCUGUGGACAAACAAGAGGAGAAUGAGAAAAGGGCAAGGGUUAUUAAGGUGGAUAAUUGGGAACAUGGCAAUGAUGGUAGGGAUUUCUUGGUUGAUCCCAGCUUCUGGGAUUGGCUGAGCAUGGAAGGAAAAUCCAAAUGCCUUUCUCAUGGACAUAAAUCAGAUCUUCAGAUUGUUUUCCUUUUAUACCAUAAUUUUACAUCCUCAGAUUCAUUUCUAAAAUCAAUUAAUUCCGUAAGUAAUCACUUUUUCAUGAACUACAUGUAAAUUUCACACUCAGCUUGCUAACUAGAUUUUCCUCUCAUCUGGGAAAUCAAUUUUUAAGAGAGUUAUUUUAUUUACAUUGAAUAAUUGGUUGUAUUUGGUACACAGAUAACUGGUAAUUAAUAACUGUAUUGAUACUGGAUAUUCAUUGCCAUUUGUUCUAGCAAGUUGUUAGACCAUUAGGCUGCAUGAUAUUUUCUUAAUGUGACCCAAUUUAAUUUGAACAUUAAAAGGUGUGUGACAUCUUUAUGACCUGUAAAGUUAUAUGUUUGGCAGGGAUACAUUUUCAGAAGGCAAAUUUAAUUUCAUUACACAAUUUGUAUCCAAACAUUGUGCUCCUUUUUAUCUACAACCAGUUUGUAGCAAGAAUGGCGCUGGUGGUGCACACAAAUGAAGUACUCAAAUAUCCACAUUAGCUGCAUUUUAUAAUUACAAAUUAAAUGUAAUUGUCAUUUUAAAAACCACAUUUUCAGAGCAAUCUCCAGUCCUGCCACAAAAAAAUUCUCACUUCUCACAGGUUCUUCCGUAGGAAAAAUGGUGGCAAGAGUUCCUGCUGGACUUUCAUCAGUCCAGAAGUAUUUGUAUUCACAAAGUAAGUGCUUGAUGAAACUACAAAAGAGUUUGCUGGCUAUUUAUCAGAAUUUGCAACUUACUGCUGGGUUAUUGUGUUGAAAUAAUGUGUAAAGUCUUUUUUUCUGCAGAAGAAAAUAGAAGGCAGCACAACUUUGUGACCAGCCCUGAUGUCCCUACUAUUGUGGUCAACACUUGAUUCAAUGUUGAAUUUUUCUGAUGGCAAUUUUCUGUUCCCCAUUGAGCAAAUAUUCAAAUAAUCUGAUUUAUUUCCUUUUGGUCAACUGAUCUAAUUUCCUUUCUGACUUGAAUUCCUGUCCUGGAGACUUGCCAAACAAUGACUCUCAUGAAUGAAACGAGUCAUGCCUUUGAGAUUCCUGUGGAACAUCAAACUGGCACACCACAGUAAUUACAGCUUAGCUAUUUCUGAUACUGUUAUUAAAAAUGACUUGAACUUUAGAAGGAAGGACUACUGCAAUUAAAUGUCACAACAAGAGUAAUUCGAAUCUUCCAGGAUCUCUAUGAUUUGUCAGAUUCUAGGCAAUUUUCUCUUUAUCCAUCUUUAUCUCUACCUGCUGUGGGAUAUUUACAGACACUACCAUGAGUCCCAGUUCUCAUAGUGCACUUUUUCAGAUGUAUUUUGGGUUCUUUUUGAAACUCUCUUAAUGAGUACCCGUGACAGAAGUGGGGAGAGCUGUCAGAUCCCAGAAAAGCUGCUGGCUGUGUGUGUGCCAGGUGCCCAUGGCAGGUUCUCACAGUGCAAUUCACAUUUUCAGCCCAGCUAUGGAACACACUGAAGGCCUGAACUAGGUCCUUGGAUAUAGGUUUGAAAACAUGUUUAGCUAAUCACAAAUACUCCUGCACAUACUUAUUUCCACAAAAUAUACACAAUUUCCUAGUGUAGAAAUGAAAUCUACUCCAACAUAAAUUUUAAAUUGCUAUCUGGUUUUUAGCACUAAAUGAGGACAUAAGAAACUUUUUCUUAAGAAGUGAAAUAUUCCACAUUCUAUCCUUUUGAAACUGUGUUUUCAAACUGUGUCAAAAUGAUCAAGAACUGGAUUCUUCUUUAAACAUAAUAGGAAGGCCUUAUUGUAUUAGCAGAUUACAGUCAUUGUGUUAGUAUACUAUCUACCUUGUAUUCAUUUUUGCUAACUUAAUGAGAAAUUUUUCUAGCAUGGUUAUAUUUUAAUACAAUAAAGUAGUGUUGGAAAGGAAAAUUAGUAUGAUUUUAAAGAGAGAUGUAAAGACAAUAAAAUAGCCUCUGAGUUUUCUAAACUUUUAAUUUGAUGCUAACUUAAAAUAUACUUUUUAUCAAUCCUCUGAAAUAAUUAUAGUCAAAUGGAGUUUUAAAGUCAGUUAAAAGGUUUACAGAUGGCUUUUUUCCCACAUACUCUGCUAUAUAAGAUCUAAGAAAGUCUGCCCAGAUGUUUCUAAAUUUUCUUAUUUUAGAGGAGUACAUCUAUAAUAGAGAAGAUUAUUGUAGCAUCAAGCCCUGAGCUUUAAUGAGAAUAUUUCAUGGCACCAUUUACAAUGCCCUUGUUCCUCCGAGGUUUGCAUUUUGAUGAAAAUUCUGACUAUAGAAUCAGAAAGAAAUGUCUGUGGUUUUAAACAUCAGCAGGCCAUGAACAAGCUGCUUUCUCUACUCUUUAAAAAAGGCAUUUCUAAAGCACUAACACACAGUGGGUAUUCAAGGAGGAAGUAAGACCUGUUCAAAAUUCCAGAUUGAAGUUGGAAGAUCUGUGCUCAGUUCCCAUUCUUGGCACAGAAUUCCUGUGAGGAAUAAACAAGGUAUUUUCAACUUCAGUGCCUCACAGAUGGAACAGUUCUCAUCACCCUUGUCUGCUGUGAAGGUUUUGAGCCCAUUUGGACUCCAGGGCAUCAACAGAGUCUGGCCAGGGCUGCACUGGAUUUCAGAGGGUCAAGCCAAGGAACAAAUAACAAUUACACAAAUUAAUCUUGCAGUCUAGGUCUGACAAAAAAGUGCAAGGGCUUCAAGGUGCUAAUGAUCUGGAUUCUCUGGAAUAAGUUUUUUCAGAAGGCAAAAGUAUCAGUGAACUUGGAGAUGUACCCAAACCAAACUGAACCUGGCUGAACUGGAUCCCAGCAGGGGCAGGCAGUGAGGGUGUGAAGUUCACUUCUGUUGUGCCACAGCAUUUAUUCAUCCCUUUGGGCUUCCCUUGGGGUGUGGGGACUGUUGUGUUUUCUCACCUGACCCCUCUGCUGUUGCAUUUGUUAUUUUGAGUGCAGGAUAUGUUUUAUGGAACCUGAAGUCAUGCAAUUCAUUACAAUGUGAGGUUUUUCACCUAUUAUUUGACAAAUUUCAUUGAUCCACAUAUAUCAAUCCCAAUUUUGUUGUAAUGAAUACAAAAUCUUUAUGCUGGGUUGGGAUCUUGGAUGCAUUUCUCUGGAGUAGAAGAGAAAAACCCUUCUGCCAUACCAGCAAAUGGAGUAGCACCUGAGUUUUUUACACAAAAAGAGUCAGAAAGCAGUUUUCUUAACCUCUCAAAGAAUUUUGCUUUGAGUAUUAAUGGAUGUUGUUUAGAAGUACAAUAGGGAGUCUUACAGCUCAUGUGGCACUCAGAUACGGAGCUAGGGCAUGGUACUUAACCUCUCCUUGGUUUAGUUUGUGAAACAAACAACACUAUUUUAACUACUUUUCAAGGAUAUUAGAUAAAAUUAAUUAGUUUUGUAUUUGUACUGCAAUAAAGGUCUAUAUAAUUGGAAAGUCUUAUAAGAAUCUAAAUCAAUUUAUUUUUAUGUUGAUUUAACUUUGAAGGGCUAUUUUUGUUACUUUGUACUGUAUUUGAAGUGUGCUAUUGUUUCAUUUUUAUAAAUAACAGCUGAUUUUUCAAGCUCCUGUAAGGAACCUAUUUAGUCUCUGUGUAUGCCAAUGCCCUCUACUGGUUUGAAACACAAUCGCUCAACAGAGGGUAUUGCUCUUCUCCUUUAUUGAGAAAACUAUAAUAUUUAAAUUAUUUUCCUUUUAAGAGCAGUAGAGUUUAAUAUUUAAAUUAUUUUCCUUUUGAGAGCAGUAGAAUUUUGGUUGUGUAGCCAGGCUUUCUGUGAAGUACAAGAAGCUGCACCAUGAACAAGCUGACACUUGGGUGACUCUUGUGCUACACGUGUGAUUCUGUGCCAGUAUUUUCACGGCCUUCUGUGUUUUUGUUUCACUGGAUUUGCUGUUCUGGCUCAUAGGUAGCAAUCCUGAGAGGGAGGAGGACACACACCUGAGACUUGCUCAGUACAGAGCUGCCGUGUAGAUGUUCCCUCAACACAAUGGCCACCACUCCAAGGAGCCUCUCUGCUCUCCAUCCUGGUCCAGAGCCUUCCAAAAGUGAGGGGUGGUUGUGUUGACAGGCUGUGAUAUAAACAACCCUCGAGGCACAGGAGCUGCAGAGGUAAUGAAGUGCCUUGAGGAAAAAGUCUUAACUAUCAAGGGAUGGAUCCACUCCCCCCUGCCACAAACCAGGGGUCACGUGGCUGGGAAUGUGUAUCCACAGAUAGUGCUACCUUCAGAGAACUCUACUUACAGGUAAGUAACUCUUCUUUAAAGGAGGUAUCUUUGUGUGGCAGACUGUUUAUGGGAGCAAUUUGAAUUGAACUUUAAAUGAAAAAGGCAUAUCUCUGUAAGUGGUAAUAAUUUUAGUCAUCUCGCUGUGGCUAGGGGUUGUGGAAUUCAUUAGCACAGAUUAACAUAUAAAGUGGGUGAGAUAUCUAAUAGCAAACGUAGAGGUUUAGGGACCUUAAUUCAUCACUGAAUGAACAGCGUGUACAGUAUUAGGGACUAUGAAAUUUUUAAUUUACACAAAGUGUCCAAGAAUAUAGGGAAUAAAUUUAAACCCAAAACAGAUAAUGGAGCUGUGCCCUGCCUAGCUGGCAAGUUGAAUUGUUUUUACACUGAGUGAAGAAAGCUAAUUAUCCCAAGCACAAGGAGACUGCUAAAAAUAAUAAGAUUAUAAAGAAUAAUUUGCUGAUAUAAUUACAACAAAAUUGGGUACACACAAUCGUCAGAUACAUGUAUUGCUUGACCUGGGCGAGAAAGUGAAAUAAAUCCUUCCUCUAUAGCCUUCGUAAAUUUGUUUUUAUCAUCUCCAAGUGGUGUUUGCACAGGCAGCACAAUUUGCAUGUGUAAUGUGGCUGUACAAAUUGACAACAAGUAAAUUAUUCAAGGAAAUAGGCUGGUCGUGGGUCUGAACUAUCUCGCAAAGCCUAUUCAUUUUGAAGAAUCACUGAGACGUGAAGCUCAUACAUCAACCAUUUUCUGACAAUCCUCAGACUUAUUGUCUCCUAAAAUGUCAUUAUGGCUAUUAUUUAUGAAGCUAAUUCAUUUAUUAAUAUAUAUUUAACUCUGACUUGUCAUGCACCUUAGCAGGCAUUCUGUGCACUGCAUAUUUUUGAAUAGAUGAAAGAGUUUUGCAUGCUUUAAUGAUUACUGUAAGCUGCUAUAGAUUUAUAGAAUGCAGCUUUAUUAUCUACUUGCAUUAAUACCUUUUUGUAACUUUUUUUUUCCUUAAGGCCAUCAAAUAUAAAUGGCAAAUGACAUAUCCAAAAGAUUGUAUAAAAAAAGAGAUUUUCUCAGAGUUUGUUGAAUUUUAGAAUAAAAUGAGGUAGCUAACUGUUAAGGCCUAACUAGUUUCUAAGAAUCUACAAUAAUUAUGCUGAUUUUUUGUGUAUUUUUCUGAAAAACAUGGAAUAAAUGAUAUAAAUUUAGAUGUUUACUGUAUUUUUCUCUUUGAGGACAAGUGGCCAUCUUUUGAUUAUGCCAACAGAGGGGGGGAAAUGUAGCAGAUGGAAAAUAGAUCUGUUCUGCUAUAGUAUACAUAUAAUAUAGAUAAUUUCUCUCAUAUAGAACACUCGUUAGGAAAUGAACAGCACAUACAGUAUGGAUUAUGAGGUUGCCUAUGGUUCUUGGAUUUUUUCAUCUUGAUUCACUUAUCUUUAGGGCAUAUUAAAAGACCUAGGGAUCACAGUAACCCUUUCCUGGCAUCUACACAAUGUCAAGAAACUAAAAAUGGAAAUCUGCUGUGAGAAACAUAUUUGAGGGCCCUAUGAUCACAGUUUCAGGAGGUUUCUGGCCUGAUUUGGAAGUUUUGAGCUCCUGCUUGUGAGGCUGAUAUCACCCACGGGUUUGGUAGGUCACUUGGUCCUGCUCCCUCAAUCUGUAAGAUGAAGAUGAAGUUUUCCUUGUUUCCUGAUGGCGCACAGAAAUAACACGUAGGGGUAAAUGCAUUCUCUGGGUAGAGUUGUUCUUUAGUAUUAAAAUUAGGAAUUGUCAUAUUUUUCACCUGCUCCCAGGAUGUGCCAGGUAGUAAAAGCCAUGGGAUUAUGUUACACCAUGGGAUGGACAGUCUGUGACCAAGGAGGAAUUUCAUACUCUAUCCUUACUUUUCCAUCUUACAGAGCAGGGCUCUUCAUGGCCAGAGGUAUUUUACCUGAGCAGAAGAAGAGAUGAAAGUUUUCAAGGUCAAGACAAGGAGUCUUUGCAUAACAAAGAAUUACCAAGCCUGUAGGUAGCAUGAAGGUCAUUUAAAGCUAAAUUUAUAGUGGUAAAUACUAUAGAUCUUCAUACUGGAAAACUUAUUAUUUUGAAUUCUUCAUCUUCUUUAGAAUGUGAAUAAGAAAACAAAAAAGUUAAAGAGGAGCAAACUUAAGUGACUGAAAUAAGUGAAAAUCCAACUCAAUCCAGACAAGGGCAAAGAAAGUCAUGUGGUUCUGAGUAUGUGUGGUGAAUAAAUAAGGCUUUUUCAUGUCUGGAUGUCAGUAAGAAUAAUAACUUUCAGUGCUUUGGAAAUAGAAGCUUAUGUUUUCUAAAGUAUUCUGGUACUUGCAAUUUCAGGUGCCUGCCUUGAGACAUCUUAGAAAGUAAACCCAGACUUGUAGAAUACUGUUUUUAAAUGGAACCUUGUCAGGUGAUCUAAAUUUGCCCUAUGGUACCUCCAAAUGUUUUAAAAUUGAAAAAAAAACAAACUACAUUAUUGAGCCUUUGGAGCAUAGAUAUAUUUUGCCACUUCAAAAACUCCCAGUACAAAUAUUGGUUGGUCUUCCAGACAGACAUCCAUCAUUCAGUAAUCAAUGCCUUUAUAGUUUUUGAUCUUGAUGACCAGUUUCACUAAGAGAAGAGAUUCACAAGCUCUCUGAAGGCUUGUUGACUGCAGCCAGUUAGAGACUGAAAUUAAUGCUAUUACUGAAUCAGUGUGGAAGACUGAUUUCUAGCAUAUUUUCUGUUUAUAUUUAAUAAAAAUAUUUAAAUAAUCUCAGAAUGGCAUGUUAAAGGAGAAAAUUCAUUGUGUUUCCUUGUUAUAUCACAAUGUUAGAGACAUCCCACUUACAUUUUUUACAAAUAAAAAAAUAAAUAAAGAUGAGAUUGACUGAA